AGCUCCAAUAGCGUAUAUUAAAGUUGUUGCGGUUAAAAAGCUCGUAGUUGAUUUUCAGUUCUGGACUGAUGGUGCACCGCCCGGUGUUUUUCCGUCAUGCUCCGAACAGAUAUACCCCGCCGGCUCGCACGGGGUGCUCUUCACCGAGUGUCCCGCGUGGCCGGCAUGUUUACUUUGAAAAAAUUAGAGUGCUCAAAGCAGGCUACAUGGAUGGCCUGAAUGGUGAUGCAUGGAAUAAUGGAAUAGGACCUCGGUUCUAUUUUAUUGGUUUUCUGAGCCCGAGGUAAUGACGGAUAGAAACAGGCGGGGGCAUUCGUAUUGCGACGCUAGAGGUGAAAUUCUUGGACCGUCGCAAGACGAACUACUGCGAAAGCAUUUGCCAAGGAUGUUUUCA
rnacentral:rRNA from 1 species